rfam:Penicillium nordicum strain DAOMC 185683 scaffold_254, whole genome shotgun sequence.
UGAGGCCUCCGACGCGACACAACAUCCUGCAGCGGUGUUGUGUGACCUGCAGUGUCCGUCGGUGGCCUCG